rnacentral:misc_RNA from 1 species
AUGCGAUAAGUAGUGUGAAUUGCAGAAUUCAGUGAAUCAUCGAAUCUUUGAACGCAUAUUGCGCCUUCCGGCAUUCCGGAAGGCAUGCCUGUUCGAGCGUCAUAUCAACUACUCAAGCAUGGAUUUAUCCUUGUUUGGUAUUGGUCAAGGAUUGAGCUUUGCUCGUUCCUGUCCGAAAUCCAAUAGCGAAGUCAUCUGCUUCAUUCGGUGUAGUAAACAACUUUAUGUUUCACUGUUGAACAUGAGAGGCUUCCGUUAUAAAUCAACUCCCCCAAUUCUAAAAAGUUUGACCUCGGAUCAGGUAGGGAUACCCGCUGAACUUAA